GUUACAGCCGCCGCGGUAAGACAGAGGGUGCAAACGUUGCUCGGAAUUACUGGGCGUAAAGGGCGUGUAGGCGGGCAGGUAAGUCGGGCGUGAAAUCCCUGGGCUCAACCCAGGAACUGCACUCGAAACUACUUGCCUUGAGUGCCGGAGAGGAAAGCGGAAUUCCUGGUGUAGAGGUGAAAUUCGUAGAUAUCAGGAGGAACACCAGUGGCGAAGGCGGCUUUCUGGACGGUAACUGACGCUGAGACGCGAAAGCGUGGGGAGCAAACAGGAUUAGAUACCCGGGUAGUCC
rnacentral:rRNA from 1 species